GCUGGCUUCAGCAGCACAUAUUAAAAUGAGAAUGGUACACAGUAGAUUAGCACAGCCCCUGUGUAAGAAUGACACCCCAAUUUGUGAAGCGUCCCGUGUUUUG
ensembl:snRNA U6 U6 spliceosomal RNA